AUUGAACGCUGGCGGCAGGCUUAACACAUGCAAGUCGAGCGAGCGGCGGACGGGUGAGUAAUGUCUUGAAACGUGCCUGACGUAGGGGGAUAAAUACUGGAAACGGUAGCUAAUACUGCAUACCAUCAGAUGUGCCCAGAUGGGAUUAGCUAGUAGGGGGGGUAAAGGCUCACCUAGGCGAAGAUCCCUAGCUGGUCUGAGAGGAUGACCGGCCACACUGGAACGGAGACACGGCCCAGACUCCUACGGGAGGCAGCAGUAGGGAAUAUUGCGCAAUGGGCGCAAGCCUGAUGGAGCAAUGCCGCGUGAGUGAAGAAGGCUUUCGGGUUGUAAAGCACUGUCAGCGAGGAAGCGUUAUUCACCGAGGAAGCACCGGCUAACUCCGUGCCAGCAGCCGCGGUAAUAC
rnacentral:rRNA from 1 species